rnacentral:rRNA from 1 species
AUUGAACGCUGGCGGCAGGCCUAACACAUGCAAGUCGAACGGUAACAGGAAGAAGCUUGCUUCUUUGCUGACGAGUGGCGGACGGGUGAGUAAUGUCUGGGAAACUGCCUGAUGGAGGGGGAUAACUACUGGAAACGGUAGCUAAUACCGCAUAACGUCGCAAGACCAAAGAGGGGGACCUUCGGGCCUCUUGCCAUCGGAUGUGCCCAGAUGGGAUUAGCUAGUAGGUGGGGUAACGGCUCACCUAGGCGACGAUCCCUAGCUGGUCUGAGAGGAUGACCAGCCACACUGGAACUGAGACACGGUCCAGACUCCUACGGGAGGCAGCAGUGGGGAAUAUUGCACAAUGGGCGCAAGCCUGAUGCAGCCAUGCCGCGUGUAUGAAGAAGGCCUUCGGGUUGUAAAGUACUUUCAGCGGGGAGGAAGCGAGUAAAGUUAAUACCUUUGCUCAUUGACGUUACCCGCAGAAGAAGCACCGGCUAACUCCGUG